rnacentral:rRNA from 1 species
GACGAACCGUGCGAACGUUGUUCGGAUUCACUGGGCUUAAAGGGCGCGUAGGCGGGCGGUCAAGUCAGGGGUGAAAUCUUUCGGCCUAACCGGAAAAGGGCCUCUGAUACUGGCCGUCUCGAGGGAGGUAGGGGCAUGCGGAACUUCCGGUGGAGCGGUGAAAUGCGUAGAUAUCGGAAGGAACGCCGGUGGCGAAGGCGACUCACUGGCCCGAUACUGACGCUGAUGCGCGAAAGCGUGGGGAGCAAACAGG